rnacentral:misc_RNA from 1 species
AACUUUUAGCAAUGGAUCACUUGGCUCUCGCAUCGAUGAAGAACGCAGCGAAAUGUGAUAAGUAAUGUGAAUUGCAGAAUUCAGUGAAUCAUCGAAUCUUUGAACGCACCUUGCACCCUUUGGAAUUCCGAAGGGUAUGCUCGUUUGAGUGUCAUUGUACUCUCACACUCCUCUGAUCCUUUGGAUUCGGGGAGCGGUGGACUUGGGUGUUUGCUGCUUUCCUUGUGGCUCACCUUAAAUGCGUCAGUGCACCUCUUGGUUGGACAUAGUACGGCGUGAUAAGUGUCUUCGCCGGCACCUCGCAAGAGGGUGGCCGAUCGAGAGCUCUGUGCUUUCAAACCGUCUUCGGACACUUUCUGACAACUUGACCUCAAAUCGAGUAGGACUACCCGCUGAACUUAAGCAUAUCAAUAAGCGGAGGCU